AGGAAAGUAACACAAAGCAGAAGAGGCAACCAAGCACCGAAAAUCCAGUCUCAAGCUCACCUGGACAAGCACAGGAUUCCUUCCCUUCCUCUGACUGAACAGGAUGCUAGGACAUCAGAGACUGAGUCCUAUGUCCUCCAUUUAAGGAGGAAGCCUAGAGUUGUCAUCUCAUGAUUUCAUACCCAGUGCCCAACUUCAUCAAGCAUGCAGGAUUCAAGAAUAAACCAUGGACAGUAAAAUACUUGAAGCUUUCAAAAUAAAGCUAAAGAUAUCUUAAAACCUACAACAUUAAAGUAACACAACAUAAGCUAAUAACCAGCACACAUCAGACAAGAUCAAGGACAUGCCAAGAAAUUUAGCUGCAAACACUGGAAAGGUAAGUUAGCUAUCCUCAGUAUUUCCCUGAUGUUACU